rnacentral:misc_RNA from 1 species
AGCAGCCGCGGUAAUUCCAGCUCCAAUAGCGUAUAUUAAAGUUGUUGCAGUUAAAAAGCUCGUAGUUGAAUUUCGGGAUCAAAGGAUCGGUCAUGCCUUGGUAUGUACUGGUUUUAUUGGUUCUCACCUUCUAAAGAACCAUAAUGUCAUUCAUUUGAUGUUAUGGGGAAUUAGGACUGUUACCUUGAAAAAUUAGAGUGUUUAAAGCAGGCUUACGCUUGAAUACAUUAGCAUGGAAUAAUGAAAUAGGACAUCAGAUUCUAUUUUGUUGGUUUCUAGGAUCGAUGUAAUGAUUAAUAGGGAUAGUUGGGGGCAUUAGUAUUCAAUUGUCAGAGGUGAAAUUCUUGGAUUUAUUGAAGACUAACUACUGCGAAAGCAUUUGCCAAGGAUGUUUUCAUUAAUCAAGAACGAAAGUUAGGGGAUCGAAGACGAUCAGAUACCGUCGUAGUCUUAACCAUAAACUAU